rnacentral:rRNA from 1 species
GAUGAACGCUAGCGGCAGGCUUAACACAUGCAAGUCGAGGGGCAGCAUUGAUUGCUUGCAAUCAGAUGGCGACCGGCGCACGGGUGCGUAACGCGUAUAGAACCUACCUUAUACAUGGGGAUAGCCUUUAGAAAUGAAGAUUAAUACCCAAUGGUGUUAUAGAAUUGCAUGAUUUUAUAAUUAAAGAUUUAUUGGUAUAAGAUGGCUAUGCGUUCUAUUAGCUAGAUGGUAAGGUAACGGCUUACCAUGGCAACGAUAGAUAGGGGUCCUGAGAGGGAGAUCCCCCACACUGGUACUGAGACACGGACCAGACUCCUACGGGAGGCAGCAGUGAGGAAUAUUGGACAAUGGGUGAGAGCCUGAUCCAGCCAUGCCGCGUGUAGGAAGACUGCCCUAUGGGUUGUAAACUACUUUUAUAUAGGAAGAAACCUGGUUACGUGUAAUCAGCUGACGGUACUAUACGAAUAAGGACCGGCUAACUCCG